GGGGGUGGGGGUGGGUUGUGCUGUGUUCUGAGCCCUGGCUGGAAAUAGGUCAUUGUCUCAAUGGCAGCAUUUGCGCAGCUGAAAAUUGGAAGUGAGCGUAAAGCGUGGGGCAUUCCGGGGCAGGGUUUUGGAGCACUGGGACCAUGGGUAGGGGUAGGGGCGGGACGAAGCAGCACAGACCUCCCCCGCCCCCUUCCCCUCCACUAGUUAUGUGCAUAGAUGUAAUCCAUCCUGGACCUGACGGACCAGAUUGUGACCAAGUAUAAAUUGAAGGCUUUUGUUUUUGUUUUUCCCCGACACUUAGUGUAAUUUCAGAAACGCUGGGCCGUUUAAAGUAAGUUUGGUUGAAAUGUGCUUAUGCAGGCAAAUUUUGUAAGGUUUCUGAUUUCAUAUGGAGUUUUUAAAAAGCUAAUGGGGUCUUGCUCUCUGUUUUUGAAGAUGUCAAAAGUAAGGGCUUCUUGGUCAAGUUCAAAUGUAUUUUGCCUAAGCUUCUUACAAGGGAAAUGUUCUGUACCCCAAAAUAUUACGGCAUAUGUGGUUUUAACACUUUUUAUUUUUGAAAUACUCUUUACACCCAGCAUGGGGCUUGAACUCACAAACUCAAGAUCAAGAGUUGCAUGCUUAACCGGCUGAGCCAUCCAGACACCCCUACUGCACAUGGGAUCUUUAAGCAGGGGCAAAGAUUUGUCAAAGAGAUGGCACAAGAUUUAAGUACAAUUUAUCUUUUAUGUCCUUGCCUAAAACAACAGGUUAGUGAAAAGAAUUCUGCUUGGAUACUUCUAUUUUUUCAUAGGCUUCCCCCCACAUCACCCCCCCUCCCCAGUAGGUUAGAUAGGAGAAACCCUUCAGAGACUUGUAACUUUACAGAGAAAACAUUCCAGGUGGGUAGUGAAGUUUAAUCUAUAGGCCUUUAAUUUCCUGUAUUUUAUGAGCCUAGACUUAAAAAUCAUUGCAGCAAGUGAUGGCCAUCCUGGCCCUGUCCCUUUUCUUCUUUUAUGGGAUCCUCAGUUUGUGGAUAUAAUUAACCUCCCUUUUCAGUGGACUAAAUUGAUGCUGAAGUAUGUAUGACACAUCUAGCAAAACUGAAAUCACGUGUUACAGAAUCAAGACUUCACAAGCUUAUUAGGUAAAGAGAAAGUGACCUUUGAGUGGGGAGAAAAGGAUGUAGACAGCAUCUGUGUUUCUGGAAAGAAAGAGUUUCUUUUGUGGAACGUGACAUUCUUUGAUCAUUGCCUCCCCUUUCCUAGGUCAGGUGUCCAAGCAUUGUAGCUAGUUUAGUGCCCAUAUUUAAUCUACACACACAGUGUAUGUCAUUCCUACUUACAGACUCUCACAAAAAAGCUUCUUUAAAACGCACAGCUGUGGGGCGCCUGGGUGGCUCGGUCGGUUAAGCGUCCGACUUCGGCUCGGGUCAUCCUCUCACGGUCCGUGGGUUCGAGCCCCGCGUCGGGCUCUGUGCUGACAGCUCAGAGCCUGGAGCCUGUUUCAGAGUCUGUGUCUCCCUCUCUCUGUGACCCUCCCCCAUUCAUGCUCUGUCUCUCUCUGUCUCAAAAAUAAAUAAACGUUAAAAAAAAAAUUUUUUUUAAAAAAGAUACACAGGAGCUCAAAAGAAAGGAAUGGCAGUAUUGUGAGUCAUUAUCCAUUGAUUUGCAGGUUUGCUGUUAGUGUUAUUUAAUUAGUAAAAUGUAUUUAUACUGCUUUUUCCAUCUUCUCUGAAGGUCUGGUGUUAAGAGCUAGCACAAAACGUGUAUCUCUGGAAUUUUAAACUUUGAGCCCAGCCUGCUUUGGGCGUGUGGUGACAUGUGGCUCUGCUGGUGGUGGGAAAUUUCAGGAGGGACUGCUGCCUCCCCAGUUCUGACCGACUGUGGUGCUGGUGUCGGGUCAUUAUGGACUUGGCUCUGUUUGAUGCACAAUCGUAUUUUAAGGACCACAUUUCUAUUUUACUUGUCUUCUCUCUGUACAUCAGUGUUGUGCUAUUGUGGUAAAUACCUCCCCAUAGCAACGUACCGGUUUUUCUUUUGGCCUCUCUAUCCUUAAAAGAAUGGUAUAUGACAGCAGGGUGGUUUCUGGACUGGCUUUCUUCAAUAAAAGCCGGGCUCAUCUAAUUAUAUGCUUAUUAGAAACUGUAACAAUGUAGAAUAUGGUCACUGGAUUUUCAGUGGCAACUACUUCUCUAUAAUUUUGUUGUUAUAUAAACAGUGUUACUGGGAGCGGCGAUGUCCAUUUGAAACAAACAUUUUAUAUCCUAGGUAGAAAAAAGUUAUCUUUUAAGUAGUAGUCAUUACCAUGAUCCCCUAAAAAGGGCUGAUGAUAUAGAGGGAGAAAAGCUAAAAAAUCUACUUGCCUUUGGGGCUUGGCUGAAUUCAUGCGUCAGCAUUUCUACGCUAAGCUGAUUAAGGUUUGCUAAGUUAACAGUGAAGUUUACGGAGCUUGGUCAUUUGUUAGCGUUUGUGAAAAAUGACCACUGUGUGUCAUAGCUAAUGUUAGGAUUAUUUAUUGAGUUGGAGUAUUGCUCAUAAGGACUUGAUCUUUAUCUCAAAGGUCAGGAUCCAGAGAGAUGACCAAAAUAGGGCGUCCAUCUGUUGGGAUAUGGAGUAUGCGGGAUGGGAGAGCAUAGGUCUGUAACUGUUUUUAGUUCUAAUGAAUGAAAAUUUAGUGAAGAUAUUUUUACGUAGUGGAUUAUAAAUAACAGCAAUAAAUGCAUUAAUUUGGCCAAGAGGUGUUGUGGCUUCUUGUAUGUUCGGGAUAGUAACCUCUUGCCCUGAGAGCAGUGGCUGGUCUGGGGUGGCUCACCUGUGAGUUUGGUAGAGCGGUGUCGACUUAUGGGCUCCAUCCCAACUUACUGAGUCAGACUCUCUGAGCCCGGGGCCCGGAAAGCUGUGUCAACAAGCUCCUCAGGUGAGUCUUUUGCGUGUGCAGGUUUGUGGAGCACUGAGGACCCAAGGAGUAGCUUAUAAGGUGCAGCUGGCUGUAUUUCUUAAACGAUUACCAAGGGACACCAGAUUUCCUACAACAUGUCUGAUGUGGCCACGUCCUUUGGGCAGCAGUGGACAGAGCUCUGGAGGUGUUUGUGUUAAGUAGCUGUAGCAUGCCCGGCACCAUCGGAGCUCAGUGUCGAACAGAAGACUCGGCCUCCUGCCUAAAAGUUAGAGCAGGAACACGAUUUCCUUGGGAGAACCCUGAACAAGAGCCCGGGUUCUCCCCUCCUCUCCUUGGUGGUGAACGCCCAGUUGUCUUCCCUCAUGUGUAAGGGGAAGGAGUUGACUAGAAUUCACGAUGCUAGAAAUACUGCUGACUUCAGAGAGUAAGUGUGGGAACGUAGGAUUCAGAGUGUCUUCUACUGUGUUCACAUCAGUUUGGCAGCUUGGACCGUCUUCCUGUGAGCACAUAGAAUAUUCUCAUUUACAACUUACAGCAGUAAACUUAAAUUGAAUUUUAGUUUUUAAAAAUUCAUUUUUCUGAGUUGCUGGGCUGGCUCAGUCGGCGGAGCACGUGACUCUUGAUCUCAGGGUUGUGGUUUCAAGCCCCACAUCCGGUGUAGAGAUUACUUAAAAAUAAAAUCUUUUGAAUAAGUACAUACAUAAAAAUUCAUUUUUCUUUCGUCUUUAUUUUCCCCUAAAGAUUUUUUAUUCUUAUCAUUUUGAAUGCCAAACUGACAGUAGUUAGUAUAGUUCAUAUUUGCAAUCACUAAAGCAACAUGGAGCUAGUUAAUAAGAUACUCAACCCAAAUGUCCCAAAUGGUGAAUGGAUGGACAGCAGUGAUGUAUCCAUACACUGGAAUGUUCCUUGGCGAUAAAGAGGGAAGCCCCAGUACAGGCUACAUCAUGGAUGAACCUCGAAAACAUUACACUGAGUGAUGGAAGGCAGAGUGUUUACACGCCCUGUUGAGAACAGGGAAAUCUAUGGAGACAAAAAGAAGAUGAGUGUUUCUCAGGGCUGGGGAGGCAGGGGUGACUGCUAAUGGGCACCAGGCUUCUUUAAAGGGAAUGAGAUGCUCUAAAAUUAGAUAGUGGUGCUGGUUGCAUAACUCUGCUGAAAACCACUGAAUUGCAUGUUUUAGAUGGGCGAAUUGUGUGUAAGUUAUAUUUCAACAAAGCUGUUAUUAAAAAAGAACACAUAAUGACUCAACAUGAAAAUCAAAAUACAAUAGUCUCUAAUUAUUGAAUUACAUGAACCAAAAUAGCCUCUCAGAAAACUGUUAUAAAUCAUUUAUUAUCUGUUGUGAGAAUUUUUCCUUGUUCCACUUCCCUGCUUCCCCCAUUUGUGGGAGAAAGUUUACUGUAUCUACUUCCUAUCGGAGCAUUUCUAAGUAUUUGAAAGGUCUUAUCCAAAUAUUUGAAAGCUGUUAGAAGUUGCUGAAGUGGCACCUUCAGAAGAAGGCUGGAAUGUUGGAAAACAGCACUGACAUUUUUAAGUGGUUAUGAAAGGUCAAGCUCUCGAUGUAAUCUUGGUGGCGCUUGGAUGGUUCUACUGAGGCUAAUUUUUGAGUAAAUGCAGGUGUGAUAGUAUAGGGAUUAAUCUGGUACCACUGAAUCCACUGCCUGAAAUUCAAACAUUCAACUGUUACGGUUUGUAUUUCGCUUUGUAUUUUAAAUGGUUUUCCUGCUUAAGUAGGUAGAAAAUCACUGCCAACUUUCUUCCCCCACCCGCCGACUAGAAUGAAGUCUGACUGCCUUGCCCAAGAAGACAAACGAGUGCUUGCCUGUAAAGACUGUAGAGGAAUUGAUUGAUCUUGAAUGUUUCCUUCUUGGUCUUUAGUGCACUAUGAAUUUAUUCUGUAAAAAGUGUGAUUAGAGAGGUAAUUUUUUUUUUUUUUAAGAGAGGUAAUCUUAAACCAAAUUCAUUGUAUUUCAGAAGGAAAUGGGCACUUCCCAAAGGAAACAUUGCGGUACUAGAUUUAUUUACCAAAACAAGGGAAAGAACUGGCAGAUAAUAUGACAGCCAUAUGUGGGUUAGAAGUAAAAUACAGUAUUUCAUUGUCAAUAUCAUUUUUAUGCCUCUCAGACUCUUAGAAGGCAUUUUAGAUACCAUUUUGAUCAAAUAAACUGGGAAGACUUAGAAACCAUGUUUUCCAGAGUACAUUCUGAAACAUACCAGUCCUUUGGGAUAUUCCAUGGAAGAAACUUAUGUAGGUAGAACAUUCCUGGGGAACUUUGACUAGGACACUGUCCUGGGGUUUUGCACCAAAGAUAUUAACACAACAAAGACACUCAAGCCUUUCCAUUAAAGAAAGAAAAAGAAAACAGAAACCACCUUAACAUAUGUGAUCUCCAGAUAGCCCCCCCAUUUGUAUCACCUCUUUGUCUCCCUAUGAAGGUCAGAUAAUGUUCUACAGAACUGCACCGCCCCUGACUUGGGUGGUGUCAGAAGCCGUUCAGAUAGUUUUUUAAGUUACAGAAUGUUACAGUUGGGAGAUCCCUCGUAGAUAAAACGUUUCCAGUCACAGGACUUCAUAUUACAAAUGAGGGGAAGGGGCUUUCUUCAGGAUGUGGACCACUGGGCAGGGAUUGGCCGGGAUGCCUAGGGAAGCGGGUCUUGGCCCCCUACCUGCUGUCAGGCCUGUGCUUGUGGUUUCUCAGCUUUCUGGGGGAGUGAGCAAAGGGAACAAUGGAUUUCUUUUUUUUUUUUUUUUUUUUUUAAGUUUAUUUAUUAUUCUGAGAGAGCAGGUGGGGAGGGGCAGAGAGAGAGAAGCCCAAGCAGGCUGUGUCAGACUUGGGGCUCAAACUCCUGAACCAUGAAAUCAUGACGCAAGACAGAAUCAAGAAUCAGACGUUUUGACUGAGCUACCCAGGUGCCCCAAUUUAUUUUUGUUUUAAUAGGGUAAAUUGUUAAUUGAGUUUAUUUUUUAAAAAAAAUUUGUGGUUUAACACACUUACAUUCUCCUCUUGGAAAAAGAGGUCAGUUGCAUCAGAGCAAUAAAACAUGUACUACUCUGUGUCCAGCCAGAGAGUUGCAUUUUCCUUCCUGGAAAUGUGAAA